AUACGUAGGGCGCGAGCGUUGUCCGGAUUUACUGGGUGUAAAGGGUGCGUAGGCGGCUCUGCAAGUCAGGUGUGAAAACCAUCGGCUUAACUGAUGGACUGCAUUUGAAACUGUGGGGCUUGAGUGGAGUAGAGGCAGACGGAAUUCCCGGUGUAGCGGUGAAAUGCGUAGAGAUCGGGAAGAACACCAGUGGCGAAGGCGGUCUGCUGGGCUCUAACUGACGCUGAGGCACGAAAGCAUGGGUAGCAAACAGGAUUAGAGACCCUGGUAGUCCAUGCCGUAAACGAUGAUGACUAGGUGUGGGGGGUCUGACCCUCUCCGUGCCGGAGUUAACACAAUAAGUAAUCCACCGGGGAAGUACGACCGCAAGGUUGAA
rnacentral:rRNA from 1 species